rnacentral:misc_RNA from 1 species
GAUGAAGAACGUAGCGAAAUGCGAUAACUAAUGUGAAUUGCAGAAUUCCGUGAAUCAUCGAAUCUUUGAACGCACAUUGCGCCCGCUAGUAUUCUGGCGGGCAUGCCUGUCCGAGCGUCAUUUCAACCCUCAAGCCCCCGGGCUUGGUGUUGGGGAUCGGCGAGCCUCCGCGCCCGCCGUCCCCUAAAUCUAGUGGCGGUCUCGCUGUAGCUUCCUCUGCGUAGUAGCACACCUCGCACUGGGAAACAGCGCGGCCACGCCGUUAAACCCCCAACUUCUGAACGUUUGACCUCGGAUCAGGUAGGAAUACCCGCUGAACUUAAGCAUAUCAAUAAGCGGAGGA